GCCAGGCAUUGUGGUGGGUGCCUGUAGUCCCAGCUGCUUGGGAGGCUGAGGCAAGAGAAUCACUUCAGCCCAGGAGUUUGAGGUUGCUGUGAGCUGUGAUGCCAUGUCAUAUGGCACUCUACCCAGGGUGACAGUUUGAGGCUCUGUCUAAAAAAAAAAAAAAAAAAAAAGAAAAGAAAAACAGAACAGAUUUUUUUUUUCAUAGCCAGAGUCUCACUUUGUCACCCUUGGUAGAGGGUUGUAACAUCAUAGCUCACAGCAACCUCAAACUCCUGGGCUCGAGUGAUUCUCUUGCCUCCA
rnacentral:SRP_RNA from 1 species